AGUGAACGCUGGCGGUAGGCCUAACACAUGCAAGUCGAACGGCAGCACAGUAAGAGCUUGCUCUUACGGGUGGCGAGUGGCGGACGGGUGAGGAAUACAUCGGAAUCUACUUUUUCGUGGGGGAUAACGUAGGGAAACUUACGCUAAUACCGCAUACGACCUACGGGUGAAAGCAGGGGAUCUUCGGACCUUAUGCGAUUGAAUGAGCCGAUGUCGGAUUAGCUAGUUGGCGGGGUAAAGGCCCACCAAGGCGACGAUCCGUAGCUGGUCUGAGAGGAUGAUCAGCCACACUGGAACUGAGACACGGUCCAGACUCCUACGGGAGGCAGCAGUGGGGAAUAUUGGACAAUGGGCGCAAGCCUGAUCCAGCCAUACCGCGUGGGUGAAGAAGGCCUUCGGGUUGUAAAGCCCUUUUGUUGGGAAAGAAAAGCAGCAGGUUAAUACCCCGCUGUUCUGACGGUACCCAAAGAAUAAGCACCGGCUAACUUCGUG
rnacentral:rRNA from 1 species